rnacentral:lncRNA from 10 species
GUCGGAAAUUGUUCAUCAAAAAACUGAGUGCUUAUCUAUGAGUAUGAAGAUUUCAUUAAUUAAUCUUAUAUGUUAUACUUUUUCACAUUACUUGAAUAUUGUUCAUAAUUGCAUACUAUCUUUAUAAUAUAAUAAAAUAUUUUCAUUUUCAAAUAUUUAACAAUUUAAACAAAUGUAAGCAAAAUAUUAAAAAUAACUUGACAUUAGUACGUGGAAUUGGGGCAAUUGCAUAAGUUUUCUCAUUCAAACAUUCAUAUAAGUACUUGAAAUCAUGAAUACAAGCAUAUUAACACUAGAGAUUUUAGAAUUCCUCCAUUAUUUCCCUAGUUUUCUAGCUAUGAUUUGAUCAAACUGUGUUUAUAAGUUCCUUUAUAUUAAAUUUAGGUGGUAAGCUAGAUUUAAAUCUUUUUGGAGAAAAAUUGUUAUUUGAUAUUAAAUGUAAUUAUUUAUUUCACUGGAAAUAUAAAAUAUAUAGCCUUCCAAGUAACAAAGGGUAAUGAAUUUAUUGUUUAAAGAGAAACGUAAAUACAGAAAAUAAAAGCUG